rnacentral:lncRNA from 1 species
ACCAAACUGAAUCAAACGACAAAAACAAAGUCCAAAUACAACUCCGAAAGUAAUGUCCAUGGCAUGAAUAAAUACAAUGAAUAAUGUAAUAAAACAUAAUUAAAUGUAGAACAAGGAUAAGUUUUCACUCACAAAUUGAUAUUCAGCCAACUAAAGUUUACAUCUCCAACAUGCUUCAGAUUCAAGUUUCACAUAUCAAUAAAGUCCAAAAGGGUACUUGAAUUUCAAAGUAAACCAAAAGGAAAAUGAAGAUUUCUGCAGUACCAGCAGAUUGAGUGAAUCAACAGAUCAAACACAGUAAUGUUCAAGUUCCUUUAGACUAUUUAUAACCCAGAUGACAUAAAUUCUUUGAAAGUAUUGGAAAAUUCUAAUUAACUAUGAAGAUCAAGAGCAGAACCAACGCAAAUUUAAACCAAAAAAAGUGCAGACAGUUUUCAGUAUUUUUAGAGUAUCAAUGGCUGCCCUGAUAAUGAAUGAAA